rnacentral:rRNA from 1 species
UGAAGAAUAUUGGGCAAUGGGCGAAAGCCUGACCCAGCAACGCCGCGUGAAGGAAGAAGGUUUUCGGAUUGUAAACUUCUGUCCCAUGGGAAGAAAAAAAUGACGGUACCAUGGGAGGAAGCCCAGGCUAACUACGUGCCAGCAGCCGCGGUAAUACGUAGGGGGCAAGCGUUGUCCGGAAUUAUUGGGCGUAAAGGGUGCGUAGGCGGCAUUUCAAGUUGGAUGUGAAAUCCCCAUGCUUAACAUGGGAAUUGCAUGUAAAACUGGAGGGCUUGAGUGUGGAAGAGGUAAGUGGAAUUCCCAGUGUAGCGGUGAAAUGCGUAGAUAUUGGGAGGAACACCAGUGGCGAAGGCGACUUACUGGGCCACAACUGACGCUGAGGCACGAAAGCGGGGGGAGCAAACA